UACAGAGGUCUCAAGCGUUGUUCGGAUUCAUUGGGCGUAAAGGGUGCGUAGGCGGCGCGGUAAGUCGGGUGUGAAAUCUCGGAGCUUAACUCCGAAACUGCAUUCGAUACUGCCGUGCUUGAGGACUGGAGAGGAGACUGGAAUUUACGGUGUAGCGGUGAAAUGCGUAGAUAUCGUAAGGAAGACCAGUGGCGAAGGCGGGUCUCUGGACAGUUCCUGACGCUGAGGCGCGAAGGCGUGGGGAGCGAACGGG
rnacentral:rRNA from 1 species